AGAGCGAACGCUGGCGGCAGGCCUAACACAUGCAAGUCGAGCGCGUGUAGCAAUACACGAGCGGCAGACGGGAGAGUAACACGUGGGAACGCGCCCUUCGGUUCGGAAUAACUCAGGGAAACUUGAGCUAAUACCGGAUACGCCCUUACGGGGAAAGAUUUAUUGCCGAAGGAACGGCCCGCGUCCGAUUAGCUAGUUGGUGAGGUAACGGCUCACCAAGGCGACGAUCGGUAGCUGGUCUGAGAGGAUGACCAGCCUCACUGGGACUGAGACACGGCCCAGACUCCUACGGGAGGCAGCAGUGGGGAAUAUUGGACAAUGGGCGCAAGCCUGAUCCAGCCAUGCCGCGUGGAUGAUGAAGGCCUUAGGGUUGUAAAGUCCUUUUAACGGGAAGAUAAUGACGGUACCGUAGAAUAAGCCCGGCUAACUUCGUGCCAGCAGCCGC
rnacentral:rRNA from 1 species